rnacentral:rRNA from 1 species
UAGUCGAGUGACACUGCGCCGAAAAUGUACCGGGGCUAAACAUAUUACCGAAGCUGUGGAUUGUCCUUUGGACAAUGGUAGGAGAGCGUUCUAAGGGCGUUGAAGCAUGAUCGCAAGGACAUGUGGAGCGCUUAGAAGUGAGAAUGCCGGUGUGAGUAGCGAAAGACGGGUGAGAAUCCCGUCCACCGAUUGACUAAGGUUUCCAGAGGAAGGCUCGUCCGCUCUGGGUUAGUCGGGUCCUAAGCUGAGGCCGACAGGCGUAGGCGAUGGAUAACAGGUUGAUAUUCCUGUACCACCUAUAAUCGUUUUAAUCGAUGGGGGGACGCAGUAGGAUAGGCGAAGCGUGCGAUUGGAUUGCACGUCUAAGCAGUAAGGCUGAGUAUUAGGCAAAUCCGGUACUCGUUAAGGCUGAGCUGUGAUGGGGAGAAGACAUUGUGUCUUCGAGUCGUUGAUUUCACACUGCCGAGAAAAGCCUCUAGAUAGAAAAUAGGUGCCCGUACCGCAAACCGACACAGGUAGUCAAGAUGAGAAUUCUAAGGUGAGCGAGCGAACUCUCGUUAAGGAACUCGGCAAAAUGACCCCGUAACUUCGGGAGAAGGGGUGCUCUUUAGGGUUAACGCCCAGAAGAGCCGCAGUGAAUAGGCCCAAGCGACUGUUUAUCAAAAACACAGGUCUCUGCUAAACCGUAAGGUGAUGUAUAGGGGCUGACGCCUGCCCGGUGCUGGAAGGUUAAGAGGAGUGGUUAGCUUCUGCGAAGCUACGAAUCGAAGCCCCAGUAAACGGCGGCCGUAACUAUAACGGUCCUAAGGUAGCGAAAUUCCUUGUCGGGUAAGUUCCGACCCGCACGAAAGGCGUAACGAUUUGGGCACU